rnacentral:rRNA from 1 species
GACAGAGGCCCCAAGCGUUAGGCGGAAUCACUGGGCUUAAAGCGUGUGUAGGCGGAUCGUUAAGUGUCUUGUGAAAUCCCACGGCUCACCCGUGGAACUGCUGGGCAUACUGGCGAUCUUGGGCCAACUAGGGGCAGUCGGAACAAGCGGUGGAGCGGUGAAAUGCGUAGAUAUCGGGAGGAACACCAGUAGCGAAGGCGGCUCGCUGGGCCAUUCCUGACGCUGAGGCGCGAAAGCUAGGGGGAGCGAACAGG